rfam:Oryza meridionalis cultivar OR44 (W2112) chromosome 12, whole genome shotgun sequence.
AAUAAGUGUAGUUUUGUAUUGUUUAUGUUCAACGUUUGACCGUUCGUCUUAUUUAAAAUUUUUUAUGAUUAGUAUUUUUAUUGUUAUUAUAUGAUAAAAUAUGAAUAGCACUUUAUGUGUGACUAUUUUUUUUAAUUUUUCAUAAAUUUUAAAAUAAGACGAACGGUCAAACGUUAGAUAUGGAUACUUCAAGGCUACACUUAUU